rnacentral:rRNA from 1 species
AGUGAACGCUGGCGGUAGGCCUAACACAUGCAAGUCGAACGGCAGCACAGUAAGAGCUUGCUCUUACGGGUGGCGAGUGGCGGACGGGUGAGGAAUACAUCGGAAUCUACUUUUUCGUGGGGGAUAACGUAGGGAAACUUACGCUAAUACCGCAUACGACCUACGGGUGAAAGCAGGGGAUCUUCGGACCUUGCGCGAUUGAAUGAGCCGAUGUCGGAUUAGCUAGUUGGCGGGGUAAAGGCCCACCAAGGCGACGAUCCGUAGCUGGUCUGAGAGGAUGAUCAGCCACACUGGAACUGAGACACGGUCCAGACUCCUACGGGAGGCAGCAGUGGGGAAUAUUGGACAAUGGGCGCAAGCCUGAUCCAGCCAUACCGCGUGGGUGAAGAAGGCCUUCGGGUUGUAAAGCCCUUUUGUUGGGAAAGAAAAGCAGCAGGUUAAUACCCCGCUGUUCUGACGGUACCCAAGGAAUAAGCACCGGCUAACUUCGU